rfam:Schistosoma haematobium scaffold1607_6, whole genome shotgun sequence.
GCACUACUGAAGAGUCCUACAAUAGAACAAAACGACCGUCCAGUGC